rnacentral:lncRNA from 1 species
AUCAUAAUGGGACCAUCCAUCACUGAUACAAUCAUCUUAUAAUUGCUUUUAGGCCCCGAGUCAUUACAUCCAAGACUUAAAAGAAAAAAGGAAGAAAGAGGUGAAGUGCCAGUGACUAGAAGAGCAAGAGCAGGAAACUGGUGCCGAAAAGGAUCCUUGGAGGCAGAUGAUUUCUACAUACGCAUUCUCUCCUUGCAAAGGUCUUAGAACAAGCCAGUGAAGCAAUCAACCAAACAAUCAUUUUCCCCCUUUGAGAGGAGGUGGGAAUCAUAAAGAACCUAAGGAAAGCUGGUGAGUCAUUUGUUUGGCAU